rnacentral:rRNA from 1 species
AAGCAAAAUGCACUUAAAGUUUGACAUCCCGAAACUAAGCGAGCUACUCUAAAACAGCCCACAGAGCCAACUCAUCCUUGUUACAAAAAGGUGAGAAGAUUUUAAAGUAGAGGUGAUAUGCCUACCGAGCUUAGAAAUAGCUGGUUAUUCAAAAGACGGAUUUAAGUCCAACUUUAAGUUUUAUUAAUUUUACUAAAUAAAUCCCAAACUUAAAAGCCAUUCAAAUAAGGUACAGCCUAUUUGAAUAAGGAUACAACCUACAAUAUAGGGUAAUGUUUAAUAACUUGAUUAAGUGGGCCUAAGAGCAGCCAUCUUCUAAAAAGCGUCCAAGCUUCCUCACUAAACAUUUUUAAUACCACUAUUUAUCCAAAACCCCCAAUCACCACUGAAUGAUCCCAUAACUAUAUGGAAGACACUAUGCUAGAACUAGUAACAAGAAGACGAACUUCUCCAAAAUGUAAACGUAAGCCUAUAAUAAACCCCUUACCGGCACUUAUCGCUACAACCCACAGUAUCUUUAUACAAGAAAACUCUACUAAUUCAAGCGCUAACCUUACACCAGAACAUUCCCGGAAAGAUUAAAAGGGGAGGAAGGAACUCGGCAAAUAUAAA